rnacentral:lncRNA from 1 species
AUCCCUGCCGAUCCUGUUGCUGCCGCCUUCCCGCCGUGCUCGGGCUGCCCGGGACUCUAGCCGCCAGGCUUCGCGUCGCCCAGCGGCAGAUCGGGCUCCUGGGAGCCUCUCCCCUGGCCGUUUGCUCGGCCUCGGCCCCAGCUGCCCUGGGGCCUAGCCACUAGCUCCCCUGGCGCUAGCCUACCCUGUCUUGACCGCACCCUGAAGAUUUGGGAAGUCUUUCUCCAUCCCAAGAGUCGUCUCUGCAAAAGUUGGUGUCCUUCCUGGUGCUGAACCACGCUUCUGCUCAAAAUGUGUUGAGCGUCGUCUGUCUGCAAAGCACGGUGCCAGGAGCUUUGGUGGAGAAGGCAUGGGGUACAUGUGUAAAGAGUACAGGCUUUUGGUUAAACCUGAAGUCCUCCUCUACUUUCUGGGGGACCCUGGCCGUCCUUGCUGAGCCUCCGUUGACUUCUCUAAUGGGGACGGUAAUGCCUACCUGACCACAAGCUGAUGAGUAAAUGAGCUAUGAGUG